UGGACCGAGGAAUCUUCUUCAGUGAGGGACGUUUUCCUACAGAUCAAAGGGACCGAGUGAAUAGAUGUAAUUCACAUCCACAUAAAGGAGACUUAUCAUUCAUCUUCAAGUUACUGGAGAAAAAAGCUCAAACGUUUCUGAAGGAUGAGCUGAUGAAAUUCAAAAGGUACCUGGAUCAGAAUGACCCAGAAUGCUCUGAGCCUCAGCUGGAGGAGGACAAUGACCUGGACAGUGAUGGUCAGAUGCGGAAGACCUGUGGUAGAGAGGGAGCUCUGAAGAUCACACUGUACAUCCUGAGGACCAUGGAGCAAAAUGAUCUCGCUGACAUGCUGGAGAAGAGUAAGAGCUGUACCUCAUUCAGUGUGUUUGAUU